AGUGAACGCUGGCGGUAGGCCUAACACAUGCAAGUCGAACGGCAGCACAGGAGAGCUUGCUCUCUGGGUGGCGAGUGGCGGACGGGUGAGGAAUACAGCGGAAUCUACUUUUUCGUGGGGGAUAACGUAGGGAAACUUACGCUAAUACCGCAUACGACCUACGGGUGAAAGCAGGGGAUCUUCGGACCUUGCGCGAUUGAAUGAGCCGAUGUCGGAUUAGCUAGUUGGCGGGGUAAAGGCCCACCAAGGCGACGAUCUGUAGUUGGUCUGAGAGGAUGAUCAGCCACACUGGAACUGAGACACGGUCCAGACUCCUACGGGAGGCAGCAGUGGGGAAUAUUGGACAACGGGCGCAAGCCUGAUCCAGCCAUACCGCGUGGGUGAAGAGGGCCUUCGGGUUGUAAAGCCCUUUUGUUGGGAAAGAAAUCCAGCUGGUUAAUACCCGGUUGGGAUGACGGUACCCAGAGAAUAAGCACCGGCUAACUUCGUGCCAGCCGCCGCAGUAA
rnacentral:rRNA from 1 species